rnacentral:rRNA from 1 species
GACGAACGCUGGCGGCGUGCCUAAUACAUGCAAGUAGAACGCUGAAGGAGGAGCUUGCUCUUCUGGAUGAGUUGCGAACGGGUGAGUAACGCGUAGGUAACCUGCCUGGUAGCGGGGGAUAACUAUUGGAAACGAUAGCUAAUACCGCAUAAGAGUAGAUGUUGCAUGACAUUUACUUAAAAGGUGCAAUUGCAUCACUACCAGAUGGACCUGCGUUGUAUUAGCUAGUUGGUGGGGUAACGGCUUACCAAGGCGACGAUACAUAGCCGACCUGAGAGGGUGGUCGGCCCACCUGGGAAUGAGACACGGCCCCGACUCCUACGGGAGGCAGCAGUAGGGAAUCUUCGGCAAUGGACGGAAGUCUGACCGAGCAACGCCGGGUGAGUGAAGAAGGUUUUCGGAUCGUAAAGCUCUGUUGUAAGAGAAGAACGAGUGUGAGAGUGGAAAGUUCACACUGUGACGGUAUCUUACCAGAAAGGGACGGCUAACUACGUG